ensembl:snRNA U6 U6 spliceosomal RNA
AUGAUGGCUUUAGCAGCAUAUAUACUGAAACUUAAAUGCUACAGAGAAGAUUAGCAUAGCCCCUAAGCAAGGGUGACAUGUAAAUUUGAAAAGAAUUUCAUAUUUAU